CAAGCUCUUACCCCAGGCAAGAGUAAUUGGUCACCUGAACUCCCCGACUCAAGACUUUCAGGGAACUGUGCAUUGGAGAUUGGGGCACAAUGUUGCCUGGCCCUUACUGCAGGCUAAUUUCAAAGGAAAUUAGGAAAAGAGCCCUCAUCCUGAAGACUUGUUGAAGCCUCUUGCUGGCACAGUACGCACAAUUUGCAGUUGAGAUUGCCUAGCAAGCUUUAUUGAAGCAGCUUUUAUGAUGGACACCGUGAAUUAACACCUUGAUCGUUUUGCAUUUGUGUAAACCUGCGAUUGCUGCUGCAGAUGCCACAGACUCUCAUCGGCUUCAGUUGACAGGUCUGUGUCCUGUGAUCUGUGUGG
rnacentral:lncRNA from 1 species